rnacentral:tRNA from 1 species
GGCGCGGUGGCAGAGUGGUCGAUUGCGGCAGUCUUGAAAACUGUUGAACCCUCACGGGUUUCGUGGGUUCGAAUCCCACCCGCGCCG